UACAGAGGUGGCAAGCGUUGUUCGGAAUUACUGGGCGUAAAGGGCUCGUAGGUGGCCAACUAAGUCAGACGUGAAAUCCCUCGGCUUAACCGGGGAACUGCGUCUGAUACUGGAUGGCUUGAGUUUGGGAGAGGGACGCGGAAUUCCAGGUGUAGCGGUGAAAUGCGUAGAUAUCUGGAGGAACACCGGUGGCGAAGGCGGCGUCCUGGACCAAUACUGACACUGAUGAGCGAAAGCCAGGGGAGCAAACGGG
rnacentral:rRNA from 1 species